UGUGUGAGACUGUGACUAGUCAUAUGCGUGUGUCUCAGAUUAAACAUGUGUGUGUAAAGCACACUGUUUUUUAAGUGAAAGCGCGAAUGGGUCAAUUCCACCGGCACAGGUUAUUAGAACCUUCCAACCUGGGUUAAUGGGGGUAUUUCUAGAGCUAAUACACGCACAAAAACUUCAACUGAAAUUGGUUGAAGUGCUUUUUAUUAGAACAAAAACCGAACGGCGUUUGACGAAUGUUGAACGUCGAAACUGUUUGGUGAAUCUGAAUAACUAUUUCUGAUCGCAUGGUCUAGCACCGGCGACAUCACUUUCAAGUGUCUGCCUUAUCAACCUUCGAUGGUAGUCUAUGCGACUACCAUGGUGAUAACGGGUAACGGAGAAUCAGGGUUCGACUCCGGAGAGGGAGCCUGAGAAACGGCUACCACAUCCAAGGAAGGCAGCAGGCGCGCAAAUUACCCACUCCCAGCUUGGGGAGGUAGUGACGAAAAAUAACGAGACGAUUCUCGUUUGAGAAACGUUAUCUAAAUGACUACGCUUUACACACGCUAACGACUAACAAUUGCAGGGCAAGUCUGGUGCCAGCAGCCGCGGUAAUUCCAGCUCCAAUAGCGUAUAUUAAAGUUGCUGCGGUUAAAACGCUCGUACUUGAAUUGUGGUCUUAGACAACAGUGCCCCUACUAAAGUGUGGCACGGUUGCUCGAGAUCUUCAUACAUGGUUGCUGUAGUUGCUCUUCAUAGAGUGUCCAUGGAAGCCACGAGAUAUACUUUGACAAAAGUAGGAGUGCUCA
rnacentral:ncRNA from 1 species